rnacentral:rRNA from 1 species
AUGGGGACUGCGAGAGAUUCCUUUGGCAGAAAGAAAUACUAUGUCAGUUUCAUUGAUGAUUAUAGCAAAUUUACAUGGAUUUAUUUGCUUAAGUACAAGUCUGAGGUUUUCUCUGUAUUUCAAGAGUUUCAAAAACUUGUUGAACGACACUUUGAUCGAAAAAAUUUGACAGUCCAAAGUGAAUGGGGAGGGGAGUAUGAAAAACUCAACUCUUUCUUCCGUAGCAUAGACAUUGAACAUCAUGUUUCUUGUCCUCAUGCUCACCAACAGAACGGCUUCGCUGAGCGGAAACAUCGUCACAUUGUUGAAGUUGGUUUGUCCCUUCUUGCCCAUGCAUCUAUGCCUCUCAAAUAUUGGGACGAAGCGUUGAUCACUGCCACCUAUCUUAUAAACCGUCUUCCUAGCAAAGUUAUUGGCAAUAUCACUCCAUUAGAGCGUCUUUAUCAUCAAACACCCGACUAUAAUUUUCUCAAAAUAUUUGGGUGUGCUUGCUACCCCAACCUACGUCCAUACAAUCGUCAUAAACUUGAGUUUCGUUCUACUCAAUGUGUCUUUAUUGGCUAUAGUAAUCUUCACAAAGGUUAUAAGUGCCUAGAAGUUUCCACUGGACGAAUCUAUAUUUCUCGGGAUGUUGUGUUUGAUGAAACUCUUUUUCCUUUUGCCAAACUUCGUCCAAACGCCGGAGCCCUUCUUCGUGCUGAAAUAGCACUUCUUUCCGAUCACAUGGGUGAAUUACAUAAGGCUGAUCAUGUGCAAAAUUCCACUCAAAACGGUGGUUCUAAUGAUAUUUGUGCAAAAACAAGCUGUGAUUUUAUGUGUCCAGAACAGGACGAAGUUGGCGCAGAGCACGAGGCUGAUUUCUCUGGCAGCAGCGACAGCAGCGGCGCGCGAUCCCGCGCUGAUCCACGCGUCAGGACUGCGCCUGGUCCUCGCCCCGAGCCGGAUUCCCAUGCAGCCAAUCCGGCGGCCUCCAGCUUUCCCGCGGCGGAUGCGGCCGACAGGCUGGGCCUGGUGGACCCCGCCAGCCCACGCGCCUGCCCCCGCGCGGGGGAAACCGUGUCUCCAUGUGGCGCACUGGACGACGGGAGCCCGCGUCUCGAUUCAGCCGCCGAGAGCGACGCGUCGAUGCGGUCGGGAUCCCCCUUGGAUCAUGCGCCGGAUGCGCCAGGAUCUGCGCGAGUAUCUCUCUCGGAUCAGGAGCCGGGAUCUUCUGCGCCUGGUUCUACGUCACCGACUGCCACAGGAUCUCCUACGCCAGUUUCUGAACCGGGAUUUUCUGCGCCUGCGUCCACAUCACCAGCACUUCCGCGCCGGCACACCAGAUCCCAGUCAUGUAUUAUCAAGAAAAAGGAAUACACUGAUGGCACGAUCAAGUAUGACAAAGUUAAGUGUGUUUUUCUCAGUCAUAUUGGAGAACCAACCUGUUUGCAUGAUGCCCUUACACAUAAAGACUGGAAAGAAGCUAUGGAUCAUGAAUAUGAUGCACUCAUGAAAAAUAAAACAUGGCAUUUAGUACCACCAAGGCAGGGUCAUAAUGUCAUAGAUUGUAAAUGGGUAUAUAAGAUAAAGAGAAAAUCUGAUGGAAGCAUAGACAGGUACAAAGCUAGACUAGUUGCCAAAGGUUUCAAACAGAGGUUUGGUAUUGAUUAUGAAGAUACUUUUAGUCCUGUUAUUAAGUCAGCUACCAUUCGGCUUGUACUGUCUAUUGCUGUUUCCAGAGGUUGGAGUUUACGUCAGCUAGAUGUUCAGAACGCGUUUCUUCAUGGUGUUCUUGAGGAAGAAGUGUUCAUGUGGCAACCACCAGGAUACGAGGAUCAAAGUGCACCACACUAUGUCUGUAAGUUGGAUAAGGCUUUAUAUGGUUUAAAACAGGCCCCAAGAGCUUGGUAUUCCAGGUUAAACAUGCAAUUACAACAACUUGGAUUUACACCAUCUAAGGCAGAUACCUCAUUGUUCUUUUAUCACAAAGAUAAGAUCACUAUUUUUGUGCUUAUUUAUGUUGAUGAUAUAAUUGUUGCAAGUUCAAGUGCACAUGCUACAACUUGUUUGCUUAAAGAUUUGAAGUUGGAAUUUGCUCUCAAGGACUUAGGUGAUCUUCAUUAUUUUCUUGGCAUAGAAGUUAAACAGAUAAAGGAUGGUAUACUUCUUACAAAGGAAAAAUACACCACUGAUAUACUCAAGAGAGUAGGAUUGGAACAUUGCAAACCUGUGAGUACACCGAUUUCAACUUCAGAAAAACUUACAAUUGAUAGUGGAGAAGCACUUGGGUCAGAUGAUGCAACAAAAUACAGAAGUGUUGUUGGUGCUUUACAGUAUUUGACUCUUACACGUCCUGAUAUAUCUUACUCUGUCAAUAAAGUUUGUCAGUAUUUGCAUGCGCCUAGAACAACACACUGGACUGCAGUAAAAAGGAUUUUAAGGUAUCUCAAAUACUCAACAGGUCUUGGACUUCAGAUUGUCAAGUCCAUGUCUUUGCUUGUUACUGCCUAUUUUUAUGCAGACUGGGCAGGGUGUGCUGAUGACAGAAGGUCCACAGGUGGUUUUGCUGUGUUUCUGGGAACAAAUCUUGUAUCAUGGAGUGCAAGAAAACAGGCCACUGUUUCUAGGUCCAGUACAGAAGCUGAGUAUAAAGCUUUGGCUAAUGCUACAGCUGAGGUGAUGUGGAUACAGACUCUGUUAUAUGAGCUUGGGAUCAAGGCUCCACAAGCUGCGAGGUUAUGGUGUGAUAAUAUUGGUGCAACCUAUCUCUCAGCUAAUCCUGUUUUCCAUGCACGAACUAAACAUAUUGAAGUUGAUUUUCACUUUGUCAGAGAAAGAGUAGCUCGCAAGCUACUUGGUAUUCGGUUUAUACCAACUGAUGAUCAACUUGCUGAUGGCUUCACAAAACCUCUUACUACGGGAAGGUUGAAUGACUUCAAGAACAAUCUUAACCUUGGUAAAGUUCAGUCGGUUCAGAUUGAGGGGGGAUGUUAG